rnacentral:rRNA from 1 species
UACAGAGGUCUCAAGCGUUGUUCGGAAUCACUGGGCGUAAAGGGUGCGUAGGCCGCACGGAAAGUCAGAGGUGAAAUUCCGGAGCUCAACUUCGGAAUUGCCUCCGAUACUCCCGUGCUUGAGGACUGGAGAGGAGUCUGGAAUUCACAGUGGAGCAGUGAAAUGCGUAGAUAUUGUGAGGAACACUAGUGGCGAAGGCGAGACUCUGGACAGUGCCUGACGCUGAGGCACGAAGGCCAGGGGAGCAAACGGG